rnacentral:SRP_RNA from 1 species
CCGUGCUAGAUGGGGAAUUAGCGGUGCCCUGUACCCGCAAUCCGCUAUAGCGGGGUUGAAUUCCUCCCCAGAGGCACAACCUGAGGUCUCUAUUCCCGGUCCCGGCGUUGAGAGUUGGGCCCUGCGCGGCGGAAACCCGCGAACCCCGUCAGGUCCGGAAGGAAGCAGCGGUAAGCAGGCCCUUUCGAGCGCCGCAGGCCAGUCCGGCUUGAGUCGUGGCCGGUGAACACGCCUGAGGGGACAGUCGAAGGGAGGUGCACGG